UCGCAGAUCUCCAUCUCGGGGAUGAUUUCAGAGAUGCCAGAGAGCUUUGUCAUUUCCUUGGCACAUGUUGUGUUCCCAUCAGCAUUAGUCUUGAAAAAGACACAAGCUUUCUUCUUGUCCAGACCAGUCAUGCACAUCUCAAGGUUAACCAUUGGUUGCUCUGGGUACUCAGUGGCGUAGAAGACGUGCCACUUCUGUCCAGGUCUUGCUGGAUCUCCAAUCACAUAAGCAUUACCACCAGAUUUCAGGCCGCCAAAGUAGCGGUUAAGUGCAGCAACUUCCUCAGAGAAGCUCCUGUGGGGGGCUGGCUGUGCGCCAGGAAAGAUGAACGUCCCACGGGAGUACUUCACAGCAGCAAGUGGCAUAGACAGCUCUUCAGCAAGCUCAAGGAUUCUUGGAAUGGUGAGCAGGAGCUUGGUAGUGCCACAGGUCUUGAUGACAAUCUUCAGAGGAUAGAUAAACAAGCUUGACUCAGAAAGGACAUAUGAGUCGAAAUCCUUGUUGGAGAGCUCAGACACAAUUGUGCACCGUGCAAGAUCCAGAACAGAGUCAAUCUGGGCCCUGGAGAGGGCACGCAAACCACGCCCAUGAGGGUCCACAAAGACAGGUGCCUCAGAGAAUGUGAUCUCAAGGCGCUUCUCAUAGCCCUCAAACCCGAUAGCUGAGACCGGGGAAGCAUCAGCAGCAGAAAGAACAGCCAUUGGAGCAGGUGAAUCAGAACACAAUGCUGGAGAUGGAGGGAGGAGUGCAAGGAGCAAGACUGGGGAACUGGUCGAUUAUCAGGAAGCAGCAGGCCAGAGAGAUUGGUCAGAAUCAAAGUGUCAGAAAAGAAAUCCUAAACUACUAGAAUGAGGAAGCCAAAAGGGAUAUCAGGAUGGCUUCUUCGCGCACUGCAACAAGAAAAAAUAGAUGUUACUAUCAACAUAUAUCUAAUAAAAUACAAGAGGUAGAAUGAAGAGCAUCAUUGUGAUGAUUGAUUUUUUACGUUGGAGUAAGCAGCAGACUGGAACUUCUUCACGCCUCCGGCAGGUCGAACGUCCUCAAUGCUGUAGCCAAGGGGAGCUUCAUACAUCAUAGAACGACUACUGCUAGACUUUUUGCCACCCUUAGACUCCAUUAGUACAUCAAAUUCCUGCAUGGAAGACCAAAAUAUUGAACACAUCCAUCAAAUCGAACAAAAAUUCUUCUCAUAAAAGAUAAAACAAGAUGUUGAUGAUCCAGGCACGACAGCUAAAAUAAACCAUCACAACGUACCACAGUUAUGCCAUUAAAGAUAUAUGCCCAAAAUAAAUGUUUCUAACUAAUUAGAGCAACAGAUCUAUAUCAUUCACAUGAGUACAUGACCAAACAUAACCUGUUUGGGAAAACAAAACUAAAUCACAGAUCUGAUGGGAACAAAAGCAAAAAUCAGCCUUGUAUGAUUUCAUUUACUUUCCACAUGGCAUGAUAUCACCUGUACAAGAAAUCGUAUGCGUCUUUUCAGUGAAUUUAUAGAUCUUGUCCACGAAUCAAAACCUAAACAAAAAGGUUAAUAGUUUUUCCUUACUUUUCCGAGUACCAGGGUAAUGAGCCAUAUUUCCUAUCCACGUUUCCUAAUAUGAACACAUAUUUCCUAACCAUGUUUCCAAAUCUAAACAAAGGUGGAGCGUAUCCACUGCCAUCAAUUUUCAAUUAACAGGGUUAGCAUCAAUUUUGAAGUAACAAAAUACGUACAACGAACAAAUGACCGAUCCACCUAUCUAAAUCUGAACAGCGAUAGCACGGAUAACGCAUCAAGCAACAGGUAUAACGCCGACCACCACGUGACUUAAGAAAACGAGCUAACUCCAUGUAGCUAUGUUUUCAUGCCUAAGGAUCCAACCCUCAUACAUUCACACCGAGAAAUCUAGAAAGGCAGCAACAUAAACCAACACAUCCAACAAAUCUCGAAUCUAAUAACAAAAAACGUACAAAAAGAGAGGAAUCGGCUAGAAAAAA
rnacentral:lncRNA from 1 species